GCCUUAUACAGAUGUAGUCACGCGAGACAGUGGCGCAUCUCCCUUUAAGGCAGUGAUUUAUUAGAAGCAUAGGUGACAGCACGGGUUGCGUGGCGUAAGAGUCGAAACCUGGUGAGCUUAUGUGGAGUAGGUUAUCCGUAAGACCUUGGGUUGAAAAACUCUAAAAUUGACCUGGGAAUGGCGAGUAUCGUUUCGCGAUUUUCGUUAUUCCCAGUUGCGGUUGA
rnacentral:sRNA from 12 species